UUUCUUUUUAUACAUUUAUGGUAUAUUUUAGAAUGCAGUGACCUAUGACAAUGUGCAUGUUGACUUCACUCAGGAAGAGUGGGCUUUGCUGGAUCCUUCCCAGAAGAAUCUCCAUAAAGAUGUGAUAGUGAAGACUACAGGAUCCUUACUGCUAUAGGACUGUAGUCUCCAAACACAUAAAAGAACACAUACAGGAGAGAAAGAAACCCUAUGAAUGUAGUCGAUGUGGUAAAGCCUUUCAUGUCACAGUAUGUUUUCAACUAAUAAAAGAACACAUGGGAGAGAAACUCUAUGAAAGUAUUGUGGUGUCAAGCCUUUCACGUCACAUAAUCUAAUGCAUAAAAGAACAUAUAUUGGAGAGAACCUCUAUGAAAGUGAUGUGUUAAAGCCUUUGCACAUCAUUGUAGUCUUUGAAAUUCUGAGAAAAAAAAUCAUACUGCAGAGCAAAUAUUAAUGUAGUCAGUAUGGUAAGGUUUUGCACUUUGUGGUGGUCUUUAUAUAAACCUUUUAGUGUUCAGUCAUUCUGUUAUAGCUUGUUCAUAUCACAAAUAGUCUUUGAGGACCUGAAAAAAACUCAUAUAGAAGAAAGUCUGGCUAUAAAGGAUUUCAUAAGAUCUUUAGCUAACACAUUCUAGUUACAUAAGAGUAUUCCGGAGAAAAUAAUUUCACAGUGUCAACAAUCUGUUCAAUCAGUAUAAUGCCCGUCUUUAUUUUGUUUGCACUUGCAAACUCAUAUGGACAAAGCCCUACAAAUUUAAAUGCUAAAGUAAGCCUUUUAGAUUUCCUCUUCAAUGACAUGAAAUAACUAAUUCAGGUAUAAAACUUCAUGAAUGUUUAUUUGUGCCUUUUCCGUUGUGAUAAAACAUAAUGUUUAUAUCAACUCAUGAAAGAGUUUGACUCUUGGUUCCAGAGGGAUACAGGAUCACAGUGAAAGUGGCAUGGCAACAGGUGUCAGACAUGGCUGCUUUAUAUCAUGAUGCUUAGAUCUUACAUCCUCAACCUGCAGGAUGAACCAGAGAGUGGAAACUGGAAAUGCUGUGCUGAUGUAAAUUAUGAAAUCCCAGUGACAUAUUUCCUCCAGCAGGGCAUCAUUUCCUAAUUCAUCCCAAAUGAUACCACCAACUAAGAAGUAUUGAUUUCUCUGACUUCUCUGACUUCAUGCUUGUUUUCUGUUAUAUGAAGCAGUCCAUGAUACUGAAAAACUGUAGUUUUUAUCCAUUUGGCACUCAUCUUGAAGUAUUUCCUCCUAAAGGAAUUAUCUACAGAUGCCAGGUAAUGUAAAGACAGAUUUAUUUUUUAAAAACAUGUCUGGUGUGUGUGUGUGUGUGUGUGUGUGUGUGUGUGUGUGUGUGUGUGUGUGUGAUGGGUUACAAUGGGUAACAGAUAUGUUUGUGGGUUUUCUUUUAGCCCUGUUCACAUGUGAUCAAGGUCAGGUUUCCAGUCUUGCACACAACAUCACAUCGGUAUAAUAUUGUUCUGUGUUCAAAUUGUAAUUAUAUUGUCAUUUAAGAAAAGAUCAACACAGGAUGUAUUUAUGCUGCCAUCUUUCUGCAUUUUUGUUAGUUUAUUCUGGGGGAGUAAACACUUGUGUACCAGCACCGAUGUCCCCAGGAGCCAGGGAGAUGAAAUGCCAACUCAAGGGAUGAUUCGAUGAGCCACCACAUCUGCUGUUCCCAUUGUAGAAAACUUGUCAAGGCAGUGAAGGAACCUCUCACAUUUGAUUGUAACUGCAAGACCAAACAAGGAAAAUGGGUGCAUGACAAGGACAGGGCCCUGAAACCAUUACUACAGCGACUCCAUCAAAGACCUCA
rnacentral:lncRNA from 1 species